rnacentral:rRNA from 1 species
UACGUAGGGUGCAAGCGUUGUCCGGAAUUAUUGGGCGUAAAGAGUUCGUAGGCGGUUUGUCGCGUCCGUUGUAAAAGCUUGGGGCCUAACCCCGAGCCUGCAGUGGAUACGGGCAGACUAGAGGUAGGUAGGGGAGAAUGGAAUUCCCGGUGUAGCGGUGAAAUGCGCAGAUAUCGGGAGGAACACCGGUGGCGAAGGCGGUUCUCUGGGCCUUACCUGACGCUGAGGAGCGAAAGCGUGGGGAGCGAACAGG